AGGAGGAACAACCCCAGUGGCGGGGCCAGCUCUGGAGCCCUGGAUUCAGCCCCCGCAGUAACUCCGGAGCUCUCCGUCUGCAGGGUCUGGAGGCUCCGGGGCGGG
rfam:Canis lupus familiaris chromosome 7, whole genome shotgun sequence.